rnacentral:lncRNA from 1 species
AAAUUGGAUUUAGACUUUAUCGACUUAUUUCAUAUCAUGGUUCAGGCCUUAAAAAUCAGUGAGGUUUACUCUUCCUUUUCGAUGCCCGUGGAACUACUGUCAAUGGUUUACUCAAUUACUUCUUGGGAAUGUUAAAAAAAAAGAUUACUACGACCUUUCGAAUUUUGGAAAUUGGAUUUAGACUUUAUCGACUUAUUUCAUAUCAUGGUUCAGGCCUUAAAAAUCAGUGAGGUUUACUCUUCCUUUUCGAUGCCCGUGGAACUACUGUCAAUGGUUUACUUCUUAGGAAUGUUAAAAAAAAAAAGAUUACUACGUGAUUUUUUGAAUAUGCCUAUAUCUAUCGCUUUUGCUUCAUUGAUUUGAUUCUCUCAAUAGAUACUGAGAUUCAUAUUGGAAAUCAAAAAUAUAGUAAUUCAAACUAUAAGACAUAGGAGUAAUUCAGAUUGAUCAGAACAAAUAGAUAUAGCAAAUAAAUGGAAUUGGAUGCUAUGUCAAUCCCAUAUAUGGAAUUGAUAUUCACAUAUAUCAAGAUAAUAUUGUAGAUUGAUAUAUAGAUCCAUAUCAAA